AGGGGCUAGUGCACAGAUAUAACGUGUGCGCGCAUUCUCUCUCUCUCUCUCUCUCUCUCUCUCUCUCUCUCUCAUCAGAGCCGCGGGCUGCAGGAGAGAAGCUUAGCAACUAAAUGCUUCAUUUCCAACAGGUCACUGAUUCAGAUAUUGAGCCUCUUCCUGCUGUCCCUGCAGUGACCCGAGCUUCGUGACUUCAUCACUUUAUUAGAGUCCAUCAGUUCGGCCAAAAUCUCCAGGUAGUGAAGGAUUAAAAAUGGCAGCAAAGAAGAAACGGAGACAAAACUGAAACGAGAAGAAAAGAGCAACGUAACGCUGGAUGAAGAGGAAACACGCGAUAUCCUGAGUCACGGAUCACACUGGGCUCGAGCUCGGCAGGGUGAAACUCACCACAUGCUCCGGGGAAGACAACAUAUUUCUCAAUGAGUCACACACACACACACACACACACACACACACUAAAGUGACAAAAUUACAUUCCACACCUGUCUCUAUCUCAGCCUUGCUUUAUUUUAAAAAUGUAAAAAAUCUCUUAUUCCUUCCUCUGUGCCUCUCCUUGAGUGAAACCGGGACUCUCUCCCUCUGUCCCCCUCUCAUUCUCUCUCUCUCUCUCUCUCUCUCUCUCUCUCUCUCUCUCUCUCUCUCUCUGUAUCUGUACCUCUCUCUCUCUCUCUCUCUCUCUCUCACCCCCCGGACAGCACACAGUAUCUUCAGAAUGAAAAAGCAGACACUUCAGGCUUGUCCUCUUUGUCCUCUCUUCUGGGAUUGAUGACACAGUGCCAACAUUUCCGGCUUAACUCGUAUCCUGUCUUUUCUCGUCACAGGAAGUCCUGAUUAUGUGCCUCCAUGCAGAGAACCCUGACCGCUCAGCAGGUAAGACGUGAUUCUGACUCUCUACAUGGAUGAGAUUGUUUAUCUUGGUGAAAGAAGAUGGCUGUUUUCUGGAUGAAGAACCCGAGACGCUCCACUGCCUCUUCACUUUCUCAUCUGGGGAAACAAAAAGCCAUGUAAAUUUUCCGGAUAUCUCCGGCGUGGAUCUUCACCGGCUUCUUCCCCACGUUGACUCGUAACUCCUUUGGCAUCUCCAUCACUGUCUGACCAGACAUCUGCAUGUGAACCACGGUCAUUACCACAUCCAUGUCCAGCACAAAGCAACCUUAUGUAUGUUCUCCUGUCAGGUGCCAUGAUGAGGAGAUCAUCAGUCUUAUUCACUUCACCGGUCACUGCUCACAGUGAUAUGGCUGACUGGUGUAUAUUAUAUGAGGAAAAAACCCAGCAGUCCAUGUUUGAUGCUGCUGCUAAUUUGAUUGAGAAGAGUUAGGCUCAAUAUUGUCACAACACUGUUCAGUGUGUGUCUGUCUGUCACUAACUGAAACCCCUAAACCUCACCCUGCAAAAGGUCUAAAAUCACCACAUACACCUCUUUAUAGAGACUGAAUAUGGAAGAGGAAACUCAACUAAUAAAAUAAGUGGAAAUCUGACAGUUCCCUACGUAAGAUAUGUGUCUCCCACAGCUAUUUGAUUACAAAGAGAUUUUUAUUAAUAGAAAAAAAAACCAUUACUGCAAGACACUGGCAUUUAUUUAUGAAACAAGUCUUCAUCUGAUUAAAUAUGAAUUUACGUUGGCAUACUUUACAAAUCCAAAAAUAUAGUCUUUGAAUGAUGUUAGACUCCAACACUCCAUCAAUAACACUGUAUCAGUAACACUGCAUCAGUAACACUAUCAGUAACACUGUAUCAGUAACACUGCAUCAGUAACACUAUCAGUAACACUGUAUCAGUAACACUGUAUCAAUAACACUGCAUCAAUAACACUGCAUCAGUAACACUGCAUCAAUAACACUGUAUCAGUAACACUGUAUCAGUAACACUGCAUCAA